GCCUUAUAGGUCUCUACCUUACCAUUGACAUAUAUUUUUUUUUAUAGAUCUAUUUACACCCAAUGGAAAUAAUUUCUUCCGAUGGAUCCACUAAGGACCAUACUUGGUUCAAGUGCAUUGAGUCAAUUUUUGACUUCACUACAUCUAACUAUUUUUUGAAAUCGAUGUCAGACAUUGUCUAAUCAAAAGUACAAGGAUCAUCAUAAUGACCCCCA
rnacentral:lncRNA from 1 species